rnacentral:sRNA from 1 species
GCUGGGUGUGGUGUUGCACACCUGUAAUCCCAGUAAUUCAAGAGGCUGAGGCAGGAGGAUUGCAGGUUUGAGGGCAGCAACUUUUCUGAGAACCUCAGCAACUCAGAGAGACUCUGUCUCAA